rnacentral:lncRNA from 1 species
GAUUAUAUGCUCUUAUUUGUAGAUUCUCUUGAAGCUAGACAAGACAAAGGAGGACAAGGAAGCAGAGAGUAAACGAAAUGAAUUACUCAAAUUCCUGAAUGCAAGUUAUGAUUGAUUAUUUGAAGCCUAAUAGUUAGCCUAAGUUUCCCAUUGGUUCAGGCAAAUGUUUGUAGCAACAUAUCUUCAAGUAUCAGUGUUCUCAUUGUAUUCAGAACCCUAAAUGUUAGCCUAAGUUUCCCCCUGGUUCAGAUAAUUGUUUGUAGCAACAUAUCUUCAAGAAUCAGUGAUCUCAUUGUAUUCAGAACUUGCAUCAUUUUGCCUUUUGUGAGGACUAUGUUGAUCGUAUCCACCCUCCAGGUGAAGUUCAAUACCAUGCUCUUCUUAUUUCUGCAGUUACCAGUGUGGAAGUUUGGAUAAGUUUUGAAAUUUUUGUUAGUUUCACCAUUUUGUAUUCUGUCAAAUGUCGUUGUGCUUUUAGUUUUUGUGUGGUUAAACUAGACACUGUAAUAUUAAAUUAUCCAAAAGUGUUUUAGCUGAUCAUUGUUGACCUUCUGUGAGGAAACCAACUAAUACAAACUGGUCAAAUUUCAGCUCAACUAAUUUCAUAGCUGAACUAGUCUCAGCAUAGGAGCCCGGACUGUAUAGGUUAAUAAUAAAGCAUGAUUCGACCUGUACAAAUGCUCCCCCUAAUAUUUUACCAAAUGUAAUUGAUUGAUGAAUCUUAAACUACUGCUAAAUCUGCCUGCCUUUCCGGUUGAACUGUUGAGGCAGAGGAGAACUCUUAUGACUUUUCAUAGUGAGAAAGGUACUUUCACGUGGGACUUUAAUUGAAUUUCCUCUUCACCUGCUUGCUUGAUUUCAGAAUUUUCCUGACAAUGUCACUCAU